rfam:Burkholderia calidae type strain LMG 29321 genome assembly, contig: contig000109
AGAUGGCAACCGCGGCAAAGCUUAGCCAGCAGCCGUGUACCGAGUCUUGCGUGGUGUCCGGCAACGGCCACUGCGAAGCGUAGACAGGGAGGUUGUAGGCCGAAACAUAAGUGAACGGAAAGAUAGCCCCGAAAUCGAUCGUGGUUGGAGUAGCCGACUCUAUCUCUCUAAGAGGAAGGCGGAAUUCCGGUACACGUCAUGGCCAGUGUACUGGGGUGCUUCCGGGGUUCGUACC